UUGACCUCAAAUCAGGUAGGACUACCCGCUGAACUUAAGCAUAUCAAUAAGCGGAGGAAAAGAAACUAACAAGGAUUCCCCUAGUAACUGCGAGUGAAGCGGGAAGAGCUCAAAUUUGAAAUCUGGCGGUUCUUGACCGUCCGAGUUGUAAUCUAGAGAAGUGCUACCUGUGCUGGACCGUGUACAAGUCUCCUGGAAUGGAGCAUCACAGAGGGUGAGAAUCCCGUCUUUGACACGGACUGCCUGCACGUUGUGGUGUGCUCUCGAAGAGUCGAGUUGUUUGGGAAUGCAGCUCAAAAUGGGUGGUAAAUGCCAUCUAAAGCUAAAUAUUGGCGAGAGACCGAUAGCGAACAAGUACCGUGAGGGAAAGAUGAAAAGAACUUUGGAAAGAGAGUUAAACAGUACGUGAAAUUGCUGAAAGGGAAACGCUUGAAGUCAGUCGCGUCGGCCAGAAAUCAGCCUUGCUUUUGCUUGGUGUACUUUCUUGUUGAUGGGUCAGCAUCAAUUUCGACCGUCGGAUAAAGUCGUCGGGAACGUGGCAUCUUUGGAUGUGUUAUAGCCUGGCGUCGCAUACGGUGGUUGGGAUUGAGGAACUCAGCACGCCGCAAAGGCCGGGUCUCUUGAGACCACGUUCGUGCUUAGGAUGCUGGCAUAAUGGCUUUAAUCGACCCGUC
rnacentral:rRNA from 1 species